GAACGUGUGGGAGGUACAGUGGAUGUUCCUCGGCCACAAUAGAGAAUACUCCCUGUCACUGGCAGCCAAAAGCUUGGAACCAGAAGACAUUCUAUACAUUGAAGUACUCCAGUCGCAGAAAGACAAAGACGGUGUGGUUACGAAGUCAGCGUGGUGGGUCCUCCUCAGAAUCCAAAGCCCAUGGGGCAGGAUGGACCUGAGAGGGCAGGACAGAAGAGAGCACAACAGAAGAUUCCGGAGCGUGGUACUGGAGCACCGGGAUGCGUUGGCAGGUGUGACGCGGGUGACGUGUGCGGUCCUCAGAGCCCGCACCCUCUGAGAGCCACCCUCCUGGGAUAUUCAGAAACAACCAGUUUGGGAUGACGGCACGAUCACGUUUGUGUUUUCACAAGGUCAACCUGGACCCACAGGCAGGGCGUCAGCCAUGGGCAAAUGUGACAUUGCUCAUCAACUCUUUCUGGACCGUCCCUUCCCCUCUGCUCCCCACCCCGACCCCAUCCCCUGACCCACAAGUGCCUCAAACCAACAAUGCUCGAGGCUGAGCCUCUCGUCCACCCUUGGGCGUUGAGCUCCUCAUCACACCCUCCACCCAGACCCAGGACAACAAACCUGGCUGCAGGAAAAUGUGGCCUUUGCUGUCCCUCCGAGGCCCGGGCUUAUUUCAAAGGAAACGAAGAAUGACUCCGUAGUGAGAAUCAGAAAGGUUCGUGUGAAACAAGAGUUUGACGCCAUGGAUACGCGGCUUCAGAUGUCACCUUGUGGCCUGGACACUGGGCACCCAUGUCUAGAGACACCGAAGUUGCUCUGUCUGUGUCUCUCAAUGAACUUAAACUUCUCGACCCAGCCCAACCUGGGAGACCAGCAUUUAAGAAGUCUGAGCUGGCCAUCCUGCCCGCCAUGGUAGCUCUAUGUGGAGGGGACAGAAGUGACUCCGCAGUGAGAGACUCGAACACAAAAUCCUGUGCAUGGGAAAGCAGAUUCUCUGGCCGGUCAUUUUCCACCAUUUCCAUCUGCUGUCCCAGGCGUGGAUAUUGCCCAGAGUUGUGCUGAUACAACAGUAGCCACAUUUCAAUUAAAUUAUUUGAUUUAAAUUUAGGGGAAAAAAACUACAUUUGAUCCCCCAGUUCCAGUGGCCACAUUUUAAUGAUUCAGUGGUCACAGGUAGCCAGUGGGCACCACACUGGGCAGAGCAAAUCAGGUGCAGCUGUCCAGGCAGAGUGCUUCUGACCACUGCAGGGUGACCUGCAGCUGCUGUGGACUCUCAGCUCUGUCCAAUCCCAGGGAUGUGCCUGGGGGAAGUCACAGGGCAAAGGGGCAACCAAACGUGUGUCCUCUUAGGCCAGGGCAGGAGGGUCCCAGCGCUGGGUUCCCGGAUCCACUGCGUGAUGAGCCACUUCUCCAGCAUCCUGGCCUCCGUUUCCUGCUGGUGACAUUGUUAAAAUAAACGUUCCCCUAACCGGUUCCUGGGGGAAAACGGAACACUCUCCAGUGGUCAGCUCUACCAGGUCACCAGAGACCGUGUGUCUUAGGACAGACACAGCUUAUGCUUCUCAUGAGAGGGGGUCAGUGGGGGUUGCCUGGGCAGUGAGGGUCAGUGGGGGUCACCUGCUCUGCUUAGACCUGCCCCAGGUUUGCUCCUGCGCCAUGUCCACUGGCAACCGGUGUGGGUGGCACACUUGGCUUCCCUGGCUCAGGCCCCAGUCUGUGUCUCUCUCCUUCCCUCCAGCCACCUGGUGUCCAUCACCCACGCCCCUAGAUGUAGCCCCAGGUCCCAAGACAGUGGGUGAAAGCUGCCCGGUGUCUUAGAGCCGAGGCCCAGGACUGGCACUAUUACUUCGGCCACAUUCUCUUGGUCAAGCAAGUCCCCAAUAAGCCCAGAUUCACGGGGAGUGGGGUGAGGACAGACCCCACCUUUCCACAGGGGCACAUGGGUGUCUGUAGCAAUGGCAGGGACUGUUGGUGGCUGGACCUUCAGACUUCUACCACAUCAGAGCAGCCAGCAGUUCCUCAGUUUAGGACAUGAAGGUAGAAAAGCGGAAAGCCCACGGGCCUGGGCAUCCUCAGAAACAAAACGGUGUGGAAUCUUCUGGAGGGUUCACCUCUGUACGCUUUAUUAUGGACAGAACGACUGCACCCCCAGAUUCAGGCACUGGAAUCCUCAACUUCA
rnacentral:lncRNA from 1 species